rnacentral:rRNA from 1 species
ACGGAAGGCAGCAGUCGGGAAUAUUGCGCAAUGGAGGGAACUCUGACGCAGUGACGCCGCGUAUAGGAAGAAGGUUUUCGGAUUGUAAACUAUUUUAGACAGGGAAGAUAAUGACAGUACCUGUAGAAUAAGCUCCGGCUAACUACGUGCCAGCAGCCGCGGUAAUACGUAGGGAGCAAGCGUUAUCCGGAUUUAUUGGGUGUAAAGGGUGCGUAGACGGGAAAUCAAGUUAGUUGUGAAAGCCCUUGGCUUAACUGAGGAACUGCAACUAAAACUAAUUUUCUUGAGUGCAGGAGAGGAAAGCGGAAUUCCUAGUGUAGCGGUGAAAUGCGUAGGUACUAGGAGGAACACCAGUGGCGAAGGCGGCUUUCUGGACUGUAACUGACGUUGAGGCACGAAAGUGUGGGGAGCAAACAGGAUUAGAUACCCUGGUA